GAUGAAGAACGUAGCAAAAUGCGAUAAGUAAUGUGAAUUGCAGAAUUCAGUGAAUCAUCGAAUCUUUGAACGCACAUUGCACCUCUCGGUAUUCCGGGAGGUAUGCCUGUUCGAGCGUCAUUUGUACCCUCAAGCUCUGCUUGGUGUUGGGUGUUUGUUCCGCCUCUGUGUGUGAACUCGCCUCAAAACAAUUGGCAGCCGGCGUACUUGUUUCGGAGCGCAGCACAUUUUGCGAUCCAGAUCAACGUACAGCGGCAUCCAAGAAGCCUUAUUUAACGCUCUUGACCUCGGAUCAGGUAGGGAUACCCGCUGAACUUAAGCAUAUCAAUAAGCGGAGGA
rnacentral:misc_RNA from 1 species